AACGAACGCUGGCGGCAGGCUUAACACAUGCAAGUCGAACGGGUGCAGCAAUGCAUCAGUGGCAGACGGGUGAGUAACACGUGGGAACCUUCCUAGAGGUACGGAACAACUCAGGGAAACUUGAGCUAGUACCGUAUACGCUCUUGCGAGGAAAGAUUUAUCGCCUUUAGACGGGCCCGCGUCGGAUUAGGUAGUUGGUGGGGUAACGGCCUACCAAGCCUACGAUCCGUAGCUGAUCUGAGAGGAUGAUCAGCCACACUGGGACUGAGACACGGCCCAGACUCCUACGGGAGGCAGCAGUGGGGAAUCUUGGACAAUGGGCGCAAGCCUGAUCCAGCCAUGCCGCGGGAGUGAAGAAGGCCUUCGGGUUGUAAAGCUCUUUUGUCAGGGACGAUAAUGACGGUACCUGAAGAAUAAGCCCCGGCAAACUUCGUGCCAGCCGCCGCGGUAA
rnacentral:rRNA from 1 species